rnacentral:lncRNA from 1 species
GCGGUGCCGCGGAGAAGCAUGGGGAGGCCGGAGAGGACGCGGCGCGGUAGAUCGACGACGAGGUCGCGGUGGCCGGGGCGGAGAAGAGUAGGUCAAAGGAGACGUUCGGUGGUUCCCCCGCCUUGAUCCAGGGGCGCAGGCGACGUGGUUGAAGACGAGGGUCCUCCUGGACACCUUGGGUCGGCGAGGCCUGGCCGGUGGCCAUGGCUAUGGUGAGCGGUGGCGGCAGCUUUGCUCGGGGAAGGAGGAAGCAGCGCGAGUGGGGGAAGAGGAGUAGGGCUAGGGUUUGACAGGGAGAGAGAGGAGGGGAAGGUGGAGUGGAUGAGAGCGGACGAGAGAAUCGAGGGGGCGAGGGGUGUUCUUAUCCCCUCCCCGUCGGCACCGGCGGGGCGGUCGGGGGCGACCCGCCCCUGUAGCGACCGCGCCAGGGGAACAGGAGUAGGCGACCGGUGGGGGCUAGGUGGGCCAGUUGGCCAAGGUGGGCCAAGGCCUAUGGGCUUUUCUUAUUAUUAUUAUUAUUAUUAUUAUUAUUAUUAUUUUAUCUCUUGUCUUUCUUUUUUCUUUUUUUAAGUUUCACAUUAUUUUAGUUUAGUUAAAAUACAAAAGUAGUUUCUAAAUUAGUACUACCAGUUAUACCUCCGCCACAAAAAGUUUGGUAUUCGAAUAAAUUACUUUGAUAUCCUAUAAAUUAUAAAAGGCAUUUGUUUAAUUAUUUUAGCUACUGUUUUAUUUAUUUUAGUGCACUAAAACACUUUACAAAAAUAUUGGUUCACCACCACAAUUACUUACGGAAUAUUUGCCACAGUUUGUAGAUUUUAGUUUUGACAUUUGAGAAGUUUUAUUUUUGACUUUAAAUUAAAUUUGAAUUUUCAACCGGUUUCAAAUCAACGAGAGUUUAGCAACAGUAACAUUGGCGACGUGGCCUCAUUAACAGAGGAUUACUGUAGCUUAAAUAUUCGGGCGUUACAAUUCUCCUCCACUACAAGAAAUCUCGUCCCGAGAUUUAGGAGGUAGAAGGAAUCAAAGCGGGGUAUUCGUCACGAAGACGAUCCUCGCGUUUCGAAGUGGCUUCAUGUUCAGAAUGAUUUUACCACUGAAUUUCAUGAAAUUUGAUAGCCCUCAGACAGUUGCGACGUUCAGCUUGAACAAGAAUGCGGAUCAGAUGCUCUUUGAAUGUGAGAUCGUCGUGUUGGGGUUGAUCUUUAUAAGCCAUGUGGUUUUUGUAGUAAGACUUGCGACUCAGGGCAUUGGCUAUGACACUAGCUUUGCCAGGGGUAUAAGAAAUACCGUAGUCAUAGUCUGUGAUUGUUUCCAUACAUCGCUACUGAUGGAGAUCCAGAUCUAGCCGAGAAAUAAUUACUUCAGACUUCAAUGAUCGGUGAAGAUCUCGCGACGAGUACCAAAAGGAAAUAUCGCCAUAACUUCAAUGCAAACAUUCGUGAAGGAGCGUUAUCAUUUCUCACAAAAGGAGAAGAGUUUAACGCAUUCAUGGAAUAAAUUCGUACUUCGACAUUACGAAGAAGAUGAGCAUGGUAGCCUACUAUCUCAUUUGAAGGAGGUAGUAGAUGAACGGUUUUAGUGUAGAAGCGGUAUAUGUUUUCAUCCAUUCCAUGCCCAGAAUGAGGUCAAUAUUGGAUGACUUCAAAACAAUGGGGGAAUAUGGAAUUCCAACCCUUCAGUUUCAACGGGGACGUUGUGACUAACCAUGGUGGUUCGACAUUGGCCCACGGAAUGCAGCUUGGAAUUCCAGCCAAGUGAUGGUGGUUCCAACAGGUAAGCAACGACUGUGGUUGUUCCACCAUUGAGCAGCGGGACCUUUCAGGUAAUAAGCCGCGAAGGUGACAUAGUUGGCAGGGGCUACAUUAGCAAACUCCAACUCGAAAGUGAUGUUAUGAAGCCAGUCAUCAACACCAAGGGGCUGAGUUUAGCAGCGGUAGAUGACAGGGUUGAGACGCGCAAAGUCUUACAAAGUCACUGGGGUGGGUUGUUGAUUCAUUUUGGGAUGUGGGAACUGAGCCAUGACUCAUACCAUAAACUGGUGAUUCAACAUCAAACUAUUGUAUCAUUCCGGCCAUGUAUUCUGGAGGUGGUGGAUUGUCGCCACCAUGGCCACGACAAGCAGGUCUAGCCAUCUUGCUGAAAUGCAACCGGGGGUAGUUUAGCAAGGGGUGGAGCAGGUGUAUGUAAUCAUUCAUGAAGUAACAUGAACAAAGAGCAAAGGCGCAUUAUGUACAAAGCAGUAGUCAUUAAAGACAUACCAAUACAUGUGUAGAGCCAAUUACACGUUGUUUGUAUGAGUUCGGACAAGAGAAGAACCUUAGACAUACUAGGCGGCACGUAUGCAUGCGAUAGAGGGAUACGACACCGGGACAUAGCAAGGACCACGUCAAUGUCGGAGAAAAACCAUUGGAGCGAGGAAUUUGCAAGUGACGACGCAGGGUGCCCUCAACAAUAGGAUCCUGUGGUCAGUGAAUAUUAUGAAGCAGAACUUGGCUCUCAAUUCGAGAAAGGUGUAAUACAACUCUCCGGAUGGAUGUAAUCACGAGAUCCUAAUGUUAGAGUUAGCAAAAUCAUUUAACCCGAAUAGAGGAGAGAUCAGAGUCCUAGAGUAUAGACGAGGAGCAAAAGAUCCUAAUACCACCCAUUGGCGACGUGGGCCCAUAAGCCACAAAGCCAUGUUAGUAAAUCAAUUUUUCAAAGACUAGACUCAACUUCGGCCAAGGAGUUGGAAAAAGGGAUCCUACAGGCAGUCGGCUCUGAUACCAACUUGUGACGCCCCCGAUUCAAUCGUACACUAAUCAUACACGUAAACGUGUACGAUCAAGAUCAGAGACUCACGGGAAGAUAUCACAACACAACUCUAGACACAAAUAAAAUAAUACAAGCUUCAUAUUACAAGUCAGGGGCCUCGAGGGCUCGAAUACAAGCUCGAUACACAAGCGUCAGCGGAAGCAACAAUAUCUGAGUACAGACAUAAGUUAAACAAGGAUGCCUUAAGAAGGCUAGCACAAACAUCAACGAUCGAAGAGGCAAGGCCUCCUGCCUGGGACCUCCUAACUACUCCUGGUCUUCGGCGGCCUCCAUGUAGUAGCAUCCGUCAGCGGUGGCAUCUGGCUCUAAGGAUCCACCAUCUGGUUGCAUCAAUCGGAAAGAAGAAGGAAGGGGGAAAAGGGGUAGCAAAGCAACCGUGAGUACUCAUCCAAAGUACUCGUAAGCAUUAGAUCUAUACUAAGUAUGCAUUGGUAUCAAAUGGAAGGGCUAUAUCUGUGGACUGAACUGCAAAAUGCGAGAAUAGAGGGGAAGGCCUAGCCUAUCGAAGACUAGCAUCUUCAAGCAGCUCCAAGCAUCUUGCAGCAUGUAGAAGAGUAAAGAAUAGCAGUUUAUAAUUAUCAAACAUGUUGUAACAUUAAUGCCCAGAGAUCCUUCCUUGACUCCCUGCGAGAAAGCAAUCCCAGAGCCAUAUCCAUCACAUAUCUCAAGUAUCCAUUUCUAGUUGUAUAAGAUCAGGAUACAAGUCUGAACGUCCAUUACCGAGGACACGGUAUUCGAAUAUAUAUCUUCCCUGCAGGGGUGCACCACGUUACCCAACACGUUCGAUCAUUCUGGCCGGACACACCUUUCUGGGGUCAAUGCCCGGCCUCGGAAGAUCAACACGUCGCAGCCCUACCUAGGCUCAGCAGAGAGGUCCCCGCCGGUCUACAUCCUAAGCACCCCGGGGUCUUGGGCCCAUCGCCCGUUGCACUCCGGGUCGUUGCGAGCAGGGUGGAUACCAGCACCGCCUCGGAUGGCCAGCACGAUCCGACCGUGCCGCAAUACUGAACUGGACGUCUCACAAAGCUUCGGCUGAUACUGCGACGUCGAGGCACAUAACUAUUCUCGCGUGGUGGUUAGUGCGUAAAGGCCAAAGGCCAACUCAGAACAAAUACCCAAACCUGUUAGUGCAUUAUUAAAAGAAGUGACGGCUGUCGGGACAAGUCCGGAGCUAUCACCCCCUCUUGGGUGAUACCGCUAAACAGCCAGCCGCCACCGUCACAUCGCACGCGUGCUCUCCGGGCCCGCCCGGCUUUCACAACGGUCUCAAGUAAAGUCAAGGUAACUGUGUGUCCAGACAUCAAGGGGAAAACCCGAGGAAUCACCCCCGGUGGAUUCCACUCAAUGUAAUCAUCAAGGUGAACGUAAGAGGGACCAGCCUCAAGGUUCACACUUAAGGUGUUGCACGACAGAGCCGUAUCGGGAAUGGUGAAAGAGGAAAUCACCCUCGAUGACCACGACCGAAUAGCUACACUACAGAAUUAUCAUCAGGAGUGCGUUAUGAGGGAUCAUCCUCGGCACUCGAUAGUAGCUCUGCAGAGUCGAGCAACAAAAGGGGCGUGAUGUGAUGUGAGGUGUCGGGCUCUGGUCGUCGAUCACGUUGAUCGAGUCAUCGAUGAUGAAGCAGGGGCAACAAGGACAAGGUGGGGGUCACUGAUGGAUCACUAACCAAUCUAUACUAAGCUGUUUAGGAUAAGCAGGUAGGUAACAAUAGUAGGUACAAAAGCAGGCUAUGCAUCAGAAUAGGAGCAAUCAAUUAUAGUAGCAAAAUCUAAUGCAAGCAUGAGAGAAUGGAAUGCGCGAUAUCGGGAUGAUCAAAGGGGGGGCUUGCCUGGAAGAUCCGUUGGAAGGGAAGAAAUGUCGUCGGUGACGUAGACGAUCACAGGGGCAUCAACUGCGGUCUCGGGGUCUACCAGAAAGAAGAGGGGGGGAAGAAACAGUAAAUGCACGCAAACAUAUGGAUAACAAGACAAUAAGCGGUGCUAGAGGUGUUCUAACGCAGUGCUACGCGAUACCGAUAGAGGGGGAUAACAUCCGGGAAAGUUUUCCCGGUUCCGGACGUUUGUCAGACAGAUGAACCGAGGGAAAAGGUUCGACAUUUUCUAUGAUAGAGACAUGUAGCGGGCGAAUGGACCGCGUAUUCGGAUUCGUCUCAUCGUUCUGAGCAACUUUCAUGUACAAAGUUUUUCGAUCCGAAUUAUGGGUUAAUUUACAUAAUUUUUCAAAGUUUUAAUAAUAUUCUAGAUUUCCUAAAUUACUUUUAAUUCAAAUUGACCAAGUCAAUUUGACUAGUCAACAUGUCAUGGACUAUUUACCUAAACAAUUAAAUAAACCUAACUUAUUUAAUGGGGGCCUUCGUGUCAUCUACUACUAGACUAACUUAGCACUAAUUAAUAUAACUAGCUAAACCUAGUACUAACAAGGGCCGGCCACUACUGGGCAGAACCCAGCCGGCCACACGCACAGCGCACACACACAACACGCAAAGCUAGAGAAUAAAUAUGUUCUCUGUUUAACAGAAGAUAGCAAUUUAUGAUUUUCAUAGGAUGUAAUCCAUGCAUCAAGUGAAUUUGGUCCAAUGGAAACAUUUGAACCUUGUCAAGUGUACUAACUAUUCAUAUUAUUUUUACACAUAUUAAAAACUGUUUAACCGCUGAUUAGAGGCUGUUUAGGGGCUUAGUCGACGUAGAAAUUAAAAGGCUAACUAUGCAGCACCAACAGUACUAGCAUCAGUACAGGCAGAGCAACGGUGGGCAGCGGCGUGGUGCGGGCGCGGCCAAGCGCUGGAGGGCGCGUGCGGGCGCGCGGCCGGCGCGGGGCACGCAAGGGCAGCGACCGGAGGCGAGGCAGGACGAGGCCCGAACGCGGCAUCGCGAGCGACUGCAGGGCCUGGCGACGGCAGCAGCAAAGUAGCAGCUGCAUCAGCACAACAGCAGGCAGGGGAGGCGGCGCGCGGCAAGCGGCUGGACAUGCGCGGGGCGAGCAGGGGACCCCGGGCGGGCGCGACCAGCGCGGGGUCAAGGAGCCGCGGGCGCGUGACCAGGGCAUGGGGAGCACGGCAGAGCACGCGUGGGAGCGAGGCGGGCUCAGACGCGCGAGCGCAGGCGCACAGGAGCGGACGGAGAGGUCCGGGCGGUGGCGACGUCCUACGGCGACGAGAAGAAAUAAAGGGAGAAGGGGGAAUGAACGGCGGCUCACAGCGGUGCCGCGGAGAAGCAUGGGGAGGCCGGAGAGGACGCGGCGCGGUAGAUCGACGACGAGGUCGCGGUGGCCGGGGCGGAGAAGAGUAGGUCGAAGGAGACGUUCGGUGGUUCCCCCGCCUUGAUCCAGGGGCGCAAGCGACGUGGUUGAAGACGAGGGUCCUCCUGGACACCUCGGGUCGGCAAGGCCUGGCCGGUGGCCAUGGCUAUGGUGAGCGGUGGCGGCAGCUUUGCUCGGGGAAGGAGGAAGCGGCGCGAGUGGGGGAAGGGGAGUAGGGCUAGGGUUUGACAGGGAGAGAGAGGAG